rnacentral:rRNA from 1 species
AGGCCUUCGGGAUUGUAAAGCCCUGUCGACUGGGAACAAGUUAGACGUCUCAUACCACGUUUGAUUGAGUGUACCAGCAAAGGAAGCACCGGCUAACCCUGUGCCAGCAGCCGCGGUAAUACAGGGGGUGCUAGCGUUGUUCGGAAUUACUGGGCGUAAAGGGCGCGUAGGCGGUUUCGCAAGUCAGAAGUGAAAUCCCGGAGCUUAACUCCGGAACUGCUUCUGAUACUGCGAGGCUUGAGUGUAUUAGAGGAUGGCGGAAUUCCUACUGUAGUGGUGAAAUACGUAGAUAUUAGGAAGAACACCGGUGGCGAAGGCGGCCAUCUGGGAUACAACUGACGGCUGAGGCGCGAAAGCGUGGGGAUCANACAGGAUUAGAUACCCUGGUAGUCCACGCUGUAAACGAUAGAUACUCGCUGUAGCUGGUAAUCAAUCCGGCUGUAGCUUAGCUAACGCGUUAAGUAUCUCGCCUGGGAAGUACG